CCUCCAAUACGCUCACACCUGAUUCUUGCCAACCUUUGACGACAAUGUCAAUGUUUGAGGUUCUUUACUCUGGUGGAACUUGAGAAUAUCCCGACUGAAAUUGUCCAGGAUGAAGAUAUAUAUGAAGACAUUUUUUAUUUUUAAUGUUACCAGCUAGGACAACUUAAAACAUAUGUCAAAUGUGAAAAUACAUGCGUUAAUAAAUCAACUGAUUUGCAUGACACCAUGCACAAUUGGGCACAAAGCUUUCGCGCGGAUUACUGAUAUUUCGCACAGUACUAAAAUUUGCGCACAAUGCAGCUCUGCGCGAAUUCUAGUACUGCGCGAAUAUUAAUACAACCGAUAAACAUUUACAAAUAAACAUUUUUCCUAUUAUUAUGUUGCUGUUUAAAUUUGUUGUUCGAAGUGGUAUGUUGAUGAAUGCAUUUUGUAACUUGUGU